GGAAAAUGAACACCCUUCAAAAACUGAAAAGGAACUUUGCCUCAUCUUUCUGGGGAAAGUGUUAACAUGUUUUGGGUUGUACAUGGUACAGUUGUGCCAUGUUAGACAGAAAGAUGACUUAGUUGUUAUCUUUAUUUAGAGGUUAAGUAUGGUUUAAAACAGGGGUGCCUUAAUCCUGGCCUGUGGAGUCCAGGAGUGGAAGCAGGAGAAAGGCGGGCUGGGAACUGUAGAAGUCUCACCUUGGUGUUCACAGCAGGUAGGUGGUCAUUUUGCUAAUGGCUUGGUGAGCGUGCACAGUAAUUAGGCUUUUGCACUUUGGAGGAUGGUUCUGGCUAAGAGAAGCAAAAUGCUUCUUGGGUGAAAGGGCUUUUAUUCUUUUUAUUUAUUAUUUAUUUAUUUUUUGUGGAAGUGUGGGGGUGGGGGUGGGGGGAGUAGUGGGGGUUACCAUGUUGGGCAGACUGGUCUCGAACUCCAGAUUUCUAGUGAUCCGCCCGCCUUGGCCUCCCGAAGUGCUGGGAUUAUAGGUGUAAGCCACAGUGCCUGGCCAGGACUUUUAUUUGCGCUUCCUCUUACACAUGGUGAGUGAGCACCUGAGGUUCAGAGUGCCUCCUUUGCAGAGGACGCCUAUAGUAGGGGCUCAGUGUUUGCUGAAUUAAAGGGAAUUUGUCUUCCCACCUUUAAAUUCACAACACUUCAGAAUCGAAUGAGAGACCUCCGUCCAUAAAAUUGACUUUAUAAAUCUUUUUCUUUUCUUUCCUUUUUUUUUUUUUUUGUUAGAGCCAAGGUCUUGCUCUGUUUCCCAGGCUGAAGUGCCGUGCAGUGAUCACAGCUCCCUGCAGCCUUGAACUCCUGGGCUCAUGAAAUCCUCCUGCCUCAGGGCAGUGCUGCAUGGUGAGGAUCUCUCAUCUACGCCCAUAGCUAAGAGCCUGCUGCAGUCCAUGCAGGUCUUUGGACAGAGGAAGAUGACCACAGUCAUGGCGAGCUUCAAACAUGGCAGUGGCCUCAUGGAAGUGAACAGGCGG
rnacentral:lncRNA from 1 species